rnacentral:rRNA from 1 species
AUUGAACGCUGGCGGCAGGCCUAACACAUGCAAGUCGAGCGGAUGAAGAGAGCUUGCUCUCUAAUUCAGCGGCGGACGGGUGAGUAAUGCCUAGGAAUCUGCCUGGUAGUGGGGGACAACAGUUGGAAACGACUGCUAAUACCGCAUACGUCCUACGGGAGAAAGCAGGGGACCUUCGGGCCUUGCGCUAUCAGAUGAGCCUAGGUCGGAGUAGCUAGUAGGUGAGGUAAUGGCUCACCUAGGCGACGAUCCGUAACUGGUCUGAGAGGAUGAUCAGUCACACUGGAACUGAGACACGGUCCAGACUCCUACGGGAGGCAGCAGUGGGGAAUAUUGGACAAUGGGCGAAAGCCUGAUCCAGCCAUGCCGCGUGUGUGAAGAAGGUCUUCGGAUUGUAAAGCACUUUAAGUUGGGAGGAAGGGCAGUAAGUUAAUACCUUGCUGUUUUGACGUUACCGACAGAAUAAGCACCGGCUAACUUCGUGCCAGCAGCCGCCGUAACAC